GGGGAUGCCUCAGUACGGCGAGUGAGCGGCAAGAGCUCAAAUUUGAAAGCUGGCUCCUUCGGAGUCCGCAUUGUAAUUUGCAGAGGAUGCUUUGGGUGCGGCCCCCGUCUAAGUGCCCUGGAACGGGCCGUCAGAGAGGGUGAGAAUCCCGUCUUGGGCGGGGUGUCCGUGCCCGUGUAAAGCUCCUUCGACGAGUCGAGUUGUUUGGGAAUGCAGCUCUAAAUGGGUGGUAAAUUUCAUCUAAAGCUAA
rnacentral:rRNA from 1 species